AGGCUAGCUGGGUUGAAGGGUAAAUGAGUGGCUACUAACCACUAAGUUGCAGGUUCGAGUCCUGCCUGGCGUGCCA
rnacentral:tRNA from 1 species